rnacentral:rRNA from 1 species
AUUGAACGCUGGCGGCAGGCCUAACACAUGCAAGUCGAGCGGAAACGAGUUAUCUGAACCUUCGGGGAACGAUAACGGCGUCGAGCGGCGGACGGGUGAGUAAUGCCUAGGAAAUUGCCCUGAUGUGGGGGAUAACCAUUGGAAACGAUGGCUAAUACCGCAUGAUGCCUACGGGCCAAAGAGGGGGACCUUCGGGCCUCUCGCGUCAGGAUAUGCCUAGGUGGGAUUAGCUAGUUGGUGAGGUAAGGGCUCACCAAGGCAACGAUCCCUAGCUGGUCUGAGAGGAUGAUCAGCCACACUGGAACUGAGACACGGUCCAGACUCCUACGGGAGGCAGCAGUGGGGAAUAUUGCACAAUGGGCGCAAGCCUGAUGCAGCCAUGCCGCGUGUAUGAAGAAGGCCUUCGGGUUGUAAAGUACUUUCAGUCGUGAGGAAGGCGUUGUCGUUAAUAGCGGCAUCGUUUGACGUUAGCGACAGAAGAAGCACCGGCUAACUCCGUGCCAGCAGCCGCGGUAAUACGGAGGGUGCGAGCGUUAAUCGGAAUUACUGGGCGUAAAGCGCAUGCAGGUGGUUUGUUAAGUCAGAUGUGAAAGCCCGGGGCUCAACCUCGGAAUAGCAUUUGAAACUGGCAGACUAGAGUACUGUAGAGGGGGGUAGAAUUUCAGGUGUAGCGGUGAAAUGCGUAGAGAUCUGAAGGAAUACCGGUGGCGAAGGCGGCCCCCUGGACAGAUACUGACACUCAGAUGCGAAAGCGUGGGGAGCGAACAGG